rnacentral:sRNA from 2 species
UCAGCCAUUCGCGCGAUCUUUGAACUAGCGCAGUGGACCAUGCGAUGUCUAUCUUAUUUGGAUGCAGGUGAGACAGACGAUUCAAUUUAACUAACUACGCAGGAUUUGAUUACACAAUUUGCCGACCUGGAAAGUUUUCAAAGGACAAAGGAAUGGUGUGUUAAGCCUGGCCCCAAGUCAAUGAAGAAAAUUGGCUAUUUGACAGUUGUAUAUUAGGUAGGCGGAGUGGAUAUUUGUGGAAGAUAUCAAAUGCCUACCGCCCUGCGAAAGUUUUCGUUCCCUUGUGAUCGGCUAUCCAGCCAUUUGAUCUUCUCAAUCUUUAGUUGCCUGCUGCCAGGUUAGCCGACAAGCUAAGCACUUUUAAACGAGGCUUAUUCAAUUUAAACUCCUGUUUCACCUUUGAACAAAACAAAGUCCUCAAAAUAAAGGGACAUGAUUUGG